rnacentral:rRNA from 1 species
UACGUAGGGUGCAAGCGUUAAUCGGAAUUACUGGGCGUAAAGCGUGCGCAGGCGGCUUUGCAAGACAGAUGUGAAAUCCCCGGGCUCAACCUGGGAACUGCAUUUGUGACUGCAUGGCUUGAGUGCGGCAGAGGGGGAUGGAAUUCCGCGUGUAGCAGUGAAAUGCGUAGAUAUGCGGAGGAACACCGAUGGCGAAGGCAAUCCCCUGGGCCGGCACUGACGCUCAUGCACGAAAGCGUGGGGAGCAAACAGG